rnacentral:rRNA from 1 species
UGAGGGAUAUUGGUCAAUGGGCGCAAGCCUGAACCAGCGACGCCGCGUGGGUGAAGAAGGUCUUCGGAUCGUAAAGCCCUUUUCCCACUGAAGAGGAAGGACGGUAGGUGGGGAAGAAGUCUCGGCUAACUACGUGCCAGCAGCCGCGGUAAAACGUAGGAGACAAGCGUUAUCCGGAGUUACUGGGCGUAAAGGGCGUGCAGGUGGCGUCUUAAGUCUGUUGUGAAAGCGCCUGGCCUAACCGGGCGAGGCCAAUGGAGACUGAGAGGCUGGAGGACGGCGGAGGGGUGUGGAAUUCCGGGUGUAGUGGUGAAAUGCGUAGAGAUCCGGAGGAACACCAGAGGCGAAGGCGGCACUCUAAACCGUACCUGACACUGAGACGCGACAGCACGGGGAGCAAACG